rnacentral:rRNA from 1 species
CAUGCAAGUCGAGGGGCAGCAUCAUCAAAGCUUGCUUUGAUGGAUGGCGACCGGCGCACGGGUGAGUAACACGUAUCCAACCUGCCGACAACACUGGGAUAGCCUUUCGAAAGAAAGAUUAAUACCGGAUGGUAUAGUUUUCCCGCAUGGGAUGAUUAUUAAAGAAUUUCGGUUGUCGAUGGGGAUGCGUUCCAUUAGGCAGUUGGCGGGGUAACGGCCCACCAAACCUACGAUGGAUAGGGGUUCUGAGAGGAAGGUCCCCCACAUUGGAACUGAGACACGGUCCAAACUCCUACGGGAGGCAGCAGUGAGGAAUAUUGGUCAAUGGACGAGAGUCUGAACCAGCCAAGUAGCGUGAAGGAUGACUGCCCUAUGGGUUGUAAACUUCUUUUAUACGGGAAUAAAGUGAGCCACGUGUGGCUUUUUGUAUGUACCG